rnacentral:sRNA from 1 species
UGCGCGACGGAUUGCGCAGCUCGGCAGGACGCUGAGCCAGGGAUACACCAGGAUGGGAACGUCGGGACGACGGGUCACGGAUGGCACAUAGGGAAUGAAGAGUGGGCGGGUAAAACCGCCCCUUUUUUU